UUAGAAAAGUAGGAAUCGAACCUACACCUGAAGGAUCAAAACCUCCUGCAAUUCCAUUUUACCACUUUCUA
rnacentral:tRNA from 1 species